AUUGAACGCUGGCGGCAGGCCUAACACAUGCAAGUCGAGCGGAUGAAGGGAGCUUGCUCCUGGAUUCAGCGGCGGACGGGUGAGUAAUGCCUAGGAAUCUGCCUGGUAGUGGGGGAUAACGUCCGGAAACGGGCGCUAAUACCGCAUACGUCCUGAGGGAGAAAGUGGGGGAUCUUCGGACCUCACGCUAUCAGAUGAGCCUAGGUCGGAUUAGCUAGUUGGUGGGGUAAAGGCCUACCAAGGCGACGAUCCGUAACUGGUCUGAGAGGAUGAUCAGUCACACUGGAACUGAGACACGGUCCAGACUCCUACGGGAGGCAGCAGUGGGGAAGAUUGGACAAUGGGCGAAAGCCUGAUCCAGCCAUGCCGCGUGUGUGAAGAAGGUCUUCGGAUUGUAAAGCACUUUAAGUUGGGAGGAAGGGCAGUAAGUUAAUACCUUGCUGUUUUGACGUUACCAACAGAAUAAGCACCGGCUAACUUCGUGC
rnacentral:rRNA from 1 species